rnacentral:rRNA from 1 species
ACAGAGGGUGCAAGCGUUAAUCGGAAUUACUGGGCGUAAAGGGCGCGUAGGUGGUUAAUUAAGUCGGAUGUGAAAUCCCUGGGCUUAACCUAGGAAUUGCAUACGAAACUGAUUGGCUAGAGUAUGAGAGAGGGAAGUGGAAUUUCCGGUGUAGCGGUGAAAUGCGUAGAUAUCGGAAGGAACACCAGUGGCGAAGGCGACUUCCUGGCUCAUUACUGACACUGAGGCGCGAAAGCGUGGGGAGCGAACAG